AAGGAGGAGCCGAGCUCUCGUGGAGGCUUUUGAUGCUGCACACAAAUGCCCUCUUGUUGGAGACGAGUGAGCAGGGCUCCGCUGCAGGGGCUCGUGCUGCUGCUGAAAAGAGAACAGAAGCCAUGUGCUCCUGCCUCAGAGGAAAGGUACCAAAUGGACCAGACUUAGCAUCUCUUCUUGAUGAUUUCAAAGGAGCUCUAGGAGUCCUGAUGAGCUCCGUGAAGUUUCACCCGAAGCUGGGAUGUCUAGGAUCCCUCAGAAGGUGGAAGUGGCAGGACGCAGACGCUUCCGUGCUGCUGGGAUGGGAGCUGCCUCCAGCAAGACGGGGUUCACUGCAGAGGAUCCCCCAACACAGAGCAGCUGCCUGUGCACACACCCACCUCCCCUCGCUGCACUCUCUGAGCAUCCCCCGUUCUUAAUUCUCUGACUUGACUACAUUGAUUUAUUGAAUUAAGUGUGCCUGCUACAUCAUCUCAGACACAUGCAGGGUAACCCCUCGAGGUGGCUCCGUUGUUAUCCCGAUGCCUGCCUCCUUGACCUUGCAACAGGAAUAGCACUUCCCCAUGUUGUUAAACAUUGGCGAGCCAGAAUUUUUCUUCCUUUAACGUAUAUAAGAACAUUCCAGAACCUGCUCGAUAUACUCCUUAACACUUAGAAUAGCUUGCCCGGGAAUUGCUGGGGUGUAGAAGAUACCCACAGGUAGCUUACUCUGGAACUGCCAGGGCGUGUCCUAGGGCGGCCCAUGAGCCCACCGUCCCAUCAGCAGGGCACGGGUUCCGGUAUCUGCACCCGCCCCUGGCACUCAGCAUCGCAGUGCCUGCUCAUUUGAGCCAAGCUAAUAGGUGUCAGGAAUGUCUCAGCAGUUUUUAUUGGCAUUGCUGUGAUUGCUCAUGAGGCCCUGGACCGCUGCGCUUGCCCUGCCCUCAGCUUGGCCCCUCUCCCGCCCCGGACUCACUCUCUCUUCUGCGCGUCUUUCAAGAUUCAGGACAGACAUUUGUCCCUGCAGUGGGCUCUGGUGCCCGGCCUCUCCCCUCUGCUCCGCAGGCCGCCCUUCCAGAAUAGCAGCUAAAGGCAUGUUUUCAGGUCUGGAAGCUCAUAUGGCUGUGAUCAAAGCCUGUUCCAUCACCUACAGGCUGAGAAACCUCAACCAAGGGCCUUAACUAAGUCUCUGAGCCUCAGAGUCCUCACCUGCAAAUGAGGGGUUAAAAAUAGUACUCCCCCCCCCCAGGGUUGGAGUGGGAGUACAAAAAAAAAAAGGAAAAAGCUUAAUUCUGAGCGGUGGGGAUACAGACUGUCACCUGCCUCCCCCAGCCCCACUCUCUUUUCUACUUCUACUAGUUGUAAUUACAGUGUAAGCCUCUGCCGCCCCCCCCAAAAAAAAAUCUCCUGGGAGAGAAUUUUCUUGACAAUUUCCUGAGCUUAUUUAUGCCAAGUAUUUGGCGUACAGCAGGGCUGAAUUCACGGUAGCCACUGGGUUUCAGCGCCCAUGCGGUCCUGCGUUGCCAUCAGACCGGCUUCCACAGCCUGGAAGGAGUCGCGGGUGGAGCUGGAUUUGCUGCAUUUUUAUAUUUUCAGCUCCUGGCAGUGUUGGGUAGAUAGAAAGCCCUGGAACAAAUCUUGUCAGCCUCUCUGGAGGAGAUUUAAGCAUCAAAUAGUGGGUUGGUCUAGAUGCUUUUUCAAAGUCUCUUCCAGCCCUGAAAUUCUGUGAUCAGGAAAUUACCCAGGAAAAAGUUCCCUUUGCAGGCUUCUUUCUAAGGUUUCUAAAUGGGGCUUUAUUACACACUGCAGGUAAUUAUAGAGGCUGAAGCGGCCUCAAGGAGCUCUGUGUGGCCUGGUGUCGCUGGUUGGUACAUUUCAGAGGCUAUCAUCUUUCCGCUGACCAGGGGAUCGGAAUCCUGACCAGGGGAUCGGAAUCCUGGCAAAGGCAGGCCCUCUCUUCAGCAGGGCAGUGGGAGGUGGCCCCGGAGGACGCGUCCUCUAGCUGGCAGCCCUCCACUCUCUGCUCCAGGGGAAGCCAGCACUAGUGGUGUGUGAAUAAUAUCAGGAAAGUCACAGAAAGCAGGAGCAAAGGAGACCUUGGGGACACCCAGUUCAGGAGGCACAACCUCUCUGUUCACAAGGACCGUGUGGGUUAUAUGAACAGAUAAAGAGACCUGGGUAGGGCAAUAGGGAGUAGUGGGGCCUGUGACAGACUAGAAAACUGAUCAGUUUCUGCUCAGCCCCUGGGGUUGUUGGUUUGGGGAACAUGGGCUCAGGGUUCCUGGAUCUGCCCCUGCUUUACCAAAAGAAGAGCUAGAGGUCCAGGGUUUUAUGUAGCUCUUUCUGAUUUUUGAAAGUUAGAGCUAAUUCAAAGUUUUGUCAGUCGGGGUAUGGCGCAGACAAAAUAGGCUUGCGAGGCUUGUGAGUUUCCAUAUCCUCUGAUUUAGCAUGACAUUUGGCAGAUUGGGAAACUGAGGUACAGAAUGGGGGAAUUUGGCAAAGUUUCCUGGGGAGGCUUUGACCUUGAGGGACAUAAAGAAUGGUCUGGCAUCCCAGGGGGCUCCUAACCCCACCUUCUCCCAAGGCAGGACCUGAGGCCCAGAGAGGGAAGGAGGCUAGCUCUGUGUCACACAGCUGGUAAUGGCAGAGUCUGGGGUAGGGCUGGGGCUUCUGGGCCCUCCUCCAUGGGACUGUCCACCAACGGUACUGCCAGAAAUGACCCUGGAAUGGUUUUGGUAAAGAGCAUGGCAGAGGGCAAGUUCUGACUUGUCGUCAGGCAGCAGGAAAAGGCUGGCCCAUGAGAGGCAGCUAUGCCAGGGAACUCCCCCUGUGCGGGGGAUCUGUUUGUGCAUGCGCUGAACUAACCCUUUCAGCUCUGAAGGUGCACAGGUCAGCCUGGGGGUGGGGGGACAAGAGGUCUGGAAAAUGGAGAAGACAGUGGGGAGGAGGAAGGUGAAUCAUCCCCAAAAGACAUCAAGGGAGGGGGGUCACUGCGCCAUGGAGUGUGAGUAGGGUUGGCUGUCCAGUGAGAGGAAGCUGGAUUUUGCCCAGAGGGCUUUGGAUUGGCCAAGGGGCCAGUGUAGAAAUGCCCACUGUGGGCUCCCUGUCUCUAAAACUCUGGGAGAGCCCAAGCUUGAAGAGAAGGCCUCAAACCCUGGACCCGAAAGGCAGGGUCUUGGCAGGCAGACCCUGCGAUGUCCGGACCCCAUGUCACUCCCAACAGUGCAGGACCUCGCCAGCCCCCCACCCCAUCCAUUCCAGCCUCGCUCAUCUGCUCAGAGGCCAGGGCUUCAGAGGUCGGUCAGCGUGGUUAUCCUUCAAAUCCCAACAUGUAGGAAAUGUCUCUUUGCUGCUUGAAUCACUCCGAUGGGUAGUGAGGUUGAACCGUUCUUUAUAGUGCAGGGGUCACCUGCAUUCCUUUUGUGUUGAUUUGCCUUUCAUGUCCUUUCCGCAUUUAAAAAAGAAAGAUUACUUCAAGGCAUUUGAUCCCACAGAGCAGG
rnacentral:lncRNA from 1 species